UAGGGAAUCUUCCGCAAUGGACGAAAGUCUGACGGAGCAACGCCGCGUGAGUGAAGAAGGAUUUCGGUUCGUAAAACUCUGUUGUUAGGGAAGAAAAAAUGUAUAGUAACUAUAUACAAAAGAGACGGUACCUAACCAGAAAGCCACGGCUAACUACGUGCCAGCAGCCGCGGUAAUACGUAGGUGGCAAGCGUUGUCCGGAAUUAUUGGGCGUAAAGCGCGCGCAGGUGGUUUAGAAAGUCUGAUGUGAAAGCCCACGGCUCAACCGUGGAGGGUCAUUGGAAACUAAUAAACUUGAGUGCAGGAGGGAAAAGUGGAAUUCCUAGUGUAGCGGUGAAAUGCGUAGAGAUUAGGAGGAACACCGGUGGCGAAAGCGGCUUUUUGGCCUGCAACUGACACUGAGGCGCGAAAGCGUGGGGAGCAAACAGG
rnacentral:rRNA from 1 species